rnacentral:rRNA from 1 species
ACGGGUGCGUAACACGUGAGUAAUCUACCGAAAAGUGGGGGAUAGCUUGCCGAAAGGCAAAUUAAUACCGCAUAUGGCCAUUCUCUAAUUGGAGAAGACGCUAAAGCAGCAAUGCGCUUUUUGAUGAACUCGCGGCCUACCAGCUAGAUGGCGGGGUAACGGCCCACCAUGGCUAUGACGGGUAGCUGGUCUGAGAGGACGACCAGCCACACUGGAACUGAGACACGGUCCAGACACCUACGGGUGGCAGCAGUCGAGAAUUUUUCACAAUGGGGGAAACCCUGAUGGAGCGACGCCGCGUGGAGGAUGAAGGCCCUCGGGUCGUAAACUCCUGUCAUGCGGGAACAAGAAAGUGAUAGUACCGCAAGAGGAAGAGACGGCUAACUCUGUGCCAGCAGCCGCGGUAAUACAGAGGUCUCAAGCGUUGUUCGGAUUCAUUGGGCGUAAAGGGUGCGUAGGUGGCGAUGUAAGUCUGGUGUGAAAUCUCGGGGCUCAACCCCGAAAUUGCAUCGGAUACUGCGUUGCUUGAGGAUUGUAGAGGAGAGUGGAAUUCAUGGU